CAGGCUUAACACAUGCAAGUCGAGGGGCAGCACAGGUAGCAAUACCGGGUGGCGACCGGCGCACGGGUGAGUAACGCGUAUGCAACUUGCCUAUCAGAGGGGGAUAACCCGGCGAAAGUCGGACUAAUACCGCAUGAAGCAGGGGCCCCGCAUGGGGAUAUUUGCUAAAGAUUCAUCGCUGAUAGAUAGGCAUGCGUUCCAUUAGGCAGUUGGCGGGGUAACGGCCCACCAAACCGACGAUGGAUAGGGGUUCUGAGAGGAAGGUCCCCCACAUUGGUACUGAGACACGGACCAAACUCCUACGGGAGGCAGCAGUGAGGAAUAUUGGUCAAUGGCCGAGAGGCUGAACCAGCCAAGUCGCGUGAGGGAUGAAGGUUCUAUGGAUCGUAAACCUCUUUUAUAAGGGAAUAAAGUGCGGGACGUGUCCCGUUUUGUAUGUACCUUAUGAAUAAGGAUCGGCUAACUCCGUGCCAGCAGCCGCGGUAAUACGGAGGAUCCGAGCGUUAUCCGGAUUUAUUGGGUUUAAAGGGUGCGUAGGCGGCCUUUUAAGUCAGCGGUGAAAGUCUGUGGCUCAACCAUAGAAUUGCCGUUGAAACUGGGGGGCUUGAGUAUGUUUGAGGCAGGCGGAAUGCGUGGUGUAGCGGUGAAAAUGCAUAGAUAUCACGCAGAACCCCGAUUGCGAAGGCAGCCUGCCAAGCCAUUACUGACGCUGAUGCACGAAAGCGUGGGGAUCAAACAGGAUUAGAUACCCUGGUAGUCCACGCAGUAAACGAUGAUCACUAGCUGUUUGCGAUACACUGUAAGCGGCACAGCGAAAGCGUUAAGUGAUCCACCUGGGGAGUACGCCGGCAACGGUGAAACUCAAAGGAAUUGACGGGGGCCCGCACAAGCGGAGGAACAUGUGGUUUAAUUCGAUGAUACGCGAGGAACCUUACCCGGGUUUGAACGCAUUCGGACCGAGGUGGAAACACCUUUUCUAGCAAUAGCCGUUUGCGAGGUGCUGCAUGGUUGUCGUCAGCUCGUGCCGUGAGGUGUCGGCUUAAGUGCCAUAACGAGCGCAACCCUUGCCACUAGUUACUAACAGGUAAAGCUGAGGACUCUGGUGGGACUGCCAGCGUAAGCUGCGAGGAAGGCGGGGAUGACGUCAAAUCAGCACGGCCCUUACAUCCGGGGCGACACACGUGUUACAAUGGCGUGGACAAAGGGAAGCCACCUGGCGACAGGGAGCGAAUCCCCAAACCACGUCUCAGUUCGGAUCGGAGUCUGCAACCCGACUCCGUGAAGCUGGAUUCGCUAGUAAUCGCGCAUCAGCCAUGGCGCGGUGAAUACGUUCCCGGGCCUUGUACACACCGCCCGUCAAGCCAUGGGAGCCGGGGGUACCUGAAGUCCGUAACCGCGAGGAUCGGCCUAGGGUAAAACUGGUGACUGGGGCUAAGUCAUAAC
rnacentral:rRNA from 1 species